rnacentral:rRNA from 1 species
GGUAUUGGCCUACCGUGGCUAUGACGGGUAACGGGGAAUUAGGGUUCGAUUCCGGAGAGGGAGCCUGAGAAACGGCUACCACAUCUAAGGAAGGCAGCAGGCGCGCAAAUUACCCAAUCCUAAUACAGGGAGGUAGUGACAAGAAAUAACAAUACAGAACCUCACGGUUUUGUAAUUGGAAUGAGUUAAGUAUAAACCCCUUAACGAGUAUCAAUUGGAGGGCAAGUCUGGUGCCAGCAGCCGCGGUAAUUCCAGCUCCAAUAGCGUAUAUUAAAGUUGUUGCAGUUAAAAAGCUCGUAGUUGAUUUUCUGUUAAUUUUUAUGUAUAAUAUUGCGAUAUUUACAUAAUAUUAACAUAAUUCACAUUACUUUACAGUAUGUGGAAUUUUACUUUGAGAAAAUUAGAGUGCUUAAAGCAGGCUAUUGCCUUGAAUACUCCAGCAUGGAAUAAUAUUAAGGAUUUUUAUUCUUCUUAUUGGUUCUAGAAUAAAAA